rnacentral:tRNA from 1 species
GGUUCCGUGGUAUAGGGGUUAACAUGCCUGCCUGUCACGCAGGAGAUCGCGGGUUCAAAUCCCGUCGGGACCG